ensembl:lncRNA
AGGGUGUGCGCGGCGUAGUCUGGGCUGCGCGCGCCUUAAAGUGGCGAGCCCUGGAACAGCCCCCCCUCUAGGACCCAAAGGCUUUGCCGCCAAGUGAACUUGGGCUUCAAGAUCCGACUCGGUGAUUGUCCGACCUCUGGGCCCGAAUCGCCCCUGAACCGAGCGGCGAGCCUCGCUUCUUGGGCCGGAAUUCCCUGUAGGAGAGGACCUCAGCCCCCCACCCUUCCAUCACACGAACACCAACACUCCUCUUGAUGCACAGAACGAAUGAGAUGUCCAGGAGAAAGCCGAGGUGGAAAGGAUUUUGCAACCCCGGGACCACUUGGUUUCUAACCAGGCGUUUGAGUGCCUACUGCAUGCGAGGAGCCGGGAUGCGGGUGAACAGGACCCAAAGGUCCUUGCCUUCGUGCAGCUUAUGUGCCAGAGGUGAAGACCAAGAAAAACGGGCAAACGAGACGACUUUAGGCAUAGUGUUGUGAUCGAAUAGAAAAGGGGCUUGAUGGACUGCAGGGAGACCUGAAGAAGUGCCAUUUUUGCUGAGACCGGUUGGUAAGAAGUGAACCAGGAAAGGAUCUGAAAGAAGGUCAUGGAAGGUAGAAGGAGUGGCCAGUGCAAAGCUCAGAGCUCCGGCGCUGUGGAGGAGAUUCUAGACCGGGAGAACAAGCGGAUGGCUGACAGCCUGGCCUCCAAGGUCACCAGGCUCAAAUCGCUGGCCCUGGACAUUGAUAGGGACGUGGAAGAGCAGAACCAGAGCCUGGGCGGCAUGGACACAGAUUUCACGAGUGUGACGGGCCUCCUCACAGGGAGCGUGAAGCGCUUUUCCACAAUGGCACGGUCUGGGCGAGACAACCGGAAGCUUCUGUGUGGUAUGGCCGUGGGCCUGAUCGUGGUCUUCUUCAUCCUCUCCUACCUCCUGUCGAGGCCAAGGACGUGAGCCAGUGGGAGCUGGCUUCUGCGGGUGCCUCGGGCAAGCAUGGUCCGCCUCUGCCUGGCGUCCCGGGCCAGAGAACUUAACGACAAAAUACUCCUUUGAAACGACGAUUGUGGCUUAGGAAUCUUGUUCCUGUGUGGCUGGGAGCCUCUGACCCAGUGAGCUUGUGUUAGCUGGUCCCAUGUGUGCAAGGGGCCCAUCUUCAUGGGGUAGCCAAGGCCCACUUUCUCUGCCACCUUGGGUGCUAGAAGCCCCAGCAGAGUAAGGUCCAAGCAGAGCAGCUGGGAAUCCUGGACACGGUCACCUGUGAACAGCAGCUCUUCCCCUGGCCCUCGAGUUUCUGAACAUCUCAAGGCUCUUCUACGCUGUUCUUGUCUGGAUAAGGCCACGUCUGGUAUUUGAGAUGCUUGGAGCUGACGUGGGAAGGGGGUGUGGCGGUGAACCUCAGAUCAUCGCUGUCACCUUCAGCCGAGUGUUCUCAACCAGAGAUGGCAGUUGCUCCUGCCCAGAGCCGCUGGGCAUCCGUGGACCAGUGGAGUCAAGGGUCCUGCCGAGAGGCCUCUUCCUGCCUUCCAGUCCCACAACUGAAGCCCGACCCUCAGGAAGGGCAGGGGUUGUGGAUGGAGUUGGGAACUGCAGCCUUCGCUGAAAGCAUGGGCUCACAUUCUGGUGAUCUCCCGGCCAUGUAUCCAGGUGCAGAAAGUGAUACUUUCUCACGAUUCAAGAUCUACCCAGAGCACCAGAGAUCUACUUCCAGGAGACCAGAUCUCUGGAAACAAGUCCAUCUGGCAUUUCAGAGUCAGGCAGGGUGUGAGGAGGGACUUUCGUGGGUAUAGAUGGAGGCUUCCAAGUAAGGGCUCUUCAUAGGACCUGUAGGUCAGUUUCUGAGGGUCAGCGAGCAGUUCCCACCAAGCCUGGCCCUUCCACUGUGGUGUUUGCCCACCUCUCCCUGGGCCCUCAGCGCCCACUCGGUCAGUCCCCUGCUCACAUCGAACCUCGAACUGAACCACAGGCCGAGCCAGACCAGUGGCUUCUUACCCCACUGAGACCUCAGUAUCCUUGUCUUCACAAGAAACACUUGUAAGAAACGAGUCACCGGCUGUGUCCUUCCCUACCCUUGUUCGAACCUUCUGGUUCCUAGUCAGCCCCCCUUACUCCUGAGGGCUACUGGCUCACCGUCCGCCUCCCCACACGCUCGUGCCACGCGCGGUCACGCGCGCCAGCCGCAUCUGCUGCCCCAUGUUGCUGGUCUCUGGCCCCGGGCACCGCGCCUCUGGUGCCGCUGCUGCGCCUGCCCUCGUCCUCCGCCCAGCAGGCUGGCUUCACCUUGCACGCUUGCCUUGGUGCCCUCCCUUCCACUGUACCUGCGACCUGAGUGCGCCGUCUCGUCCAGUGUGUGCUUGUGUCUCCCCCGGUGAGACUGCCUUGCUUGUCUCCGUGUCUCUGGGGCUUGGCUGUUUCCCUGUCCUCCUGGACGUUCCUUCGCAGGUCUCUGGCCCUGCCUUGACCCCCAGCGCCCUGUGCGCUGCGGCUUUGGCUUCGCCUGCUUCUCGUCUCACACUGAACCUUGUCGCGGGCCUUUGUCCUCCGGUCACCAGGCUCAACAGCUGCUGCCUGUGCAGUGUCUCCCUCUGGUUGCCGCAGGCCCUGCAGAUGCGCCCAGACCUGAGGUCCGCGGCCCCCACCUUGUCUGGGCCUGCUAACCUUGCUUCCUGAGAACGUGGCUCAGCCGUGGCAGCCUUCCCCCCGCAGAUGCUUUUAUGUGGUGUGCCCCCUUGUCUUGCCAAGGCAGCCAGGAAUUUAGAGUUUGCCUUCAGGGUGGCACCCCGGCUGCUGUGUUCUCUCCUCAGGUCUCCGUCUGUGCCUCCCCACUUCUCCACCUCCACGGCUCUUUGCAGCCCUUCCAGCUAUUUGGGGGUCUGGGCUCUAGUUUCUUUCUGGUUUACUUUCUUGCUUCCUACUCUCAUCGUGUUAGGUGAAUUCCUGAAGGAAGCACGGCACCCCUGCUGCCGCUGUGUCGGCAGGGUUUCCUGUGGGGCCUUCCCUGCUCAGCCCUGUACACUGAGCACCUAAUCCUGUGGGUAAGUGGGGUUUGCCGAGGUUGAUCCCUGAGACCAUAAAACAGAAGGACUUGGAGCCUCCCUCUGUGCCAGGUGAGGAUGAACUGCCAGGUUCUAUCCCAUAAUUCAUGGACAACACAUUUAGCAAUAAAAAUUUGGAAUAAAGAGCUUCGUGAUGAAG